AAUGGCAGUGAAGAUGCUGCCGACCUACGGCAAGACGAAAAGACCCCGUGGAGCUUUACUACAACUUGGUAUUGGGUUGUGAUUUUAGCUGCCUAGCAUAGGUGGGAGGCUUUGAAGCCUCGACUUCGGUCGAGGUGGAGCCGCCAGUGUAAUACCACCCUGCUGAAGUCGCAAUUCUAACCCUGGUCUGUUAGUUGAAUUAUAUAAUUUUCAAUUGAUGGUACUCGGAACAAGAGUAAAGAAUUCACAUGAGAGUAUCAUCGAUGAUGA
rnacentral:ncRNA from 1 species